rnacentral:ribozyme from 12 species
GCUGCUAAAAAAGACAAAAUAGACAAAAAAGACAAUGAGAAAUCUGCAGUCAGAAGUGACUGAAGUGGAGUUUGCUUUUUUUCUUUUUUCUUUUUUCUUUUUUUCCUUGUCGUGCCUUAACCCGGGUUUGCUAUGAAA